GAUGAACGCUAGCUACAGGCUUAACACAUGCAAGUCGAGGGGAAACGGCAUCGAAAGCUUGCUUUUGAUGGGCGUCGACCGGCGCACGGGUGAGUAACGCGUAUCCAACCUGCCCAUCACUUGGGAAUAACCUUGCGAAAGUAAGACUAAUGCCCAAUGACAUCCCACGAAGGCAUCCGAAUGGGAUUAAAGAUUUAUCGGUGAUGGAUGGGGAUGCGUCUGAUUAGCUUGUUGGCGGGGUGACGGCCCACCAAGGCAACGAUCAGUAGGGGUUCUGAGAGGAAGGUCCCCCACAUUGGAACUGAGACACGGUCCAAACUCCUACGGGAGGCAGCAGUGAGGAAUAUUGGUCAAUGGGCGAGAGCCUGAACCAGCCAAGUAGCGUGCAGGAGGACGGCCCUAUGGGUUGUAAACUGCUUUUAUAAGGGAAUAAAGUGGGUCACGUGUGACUUUUUGCAUGUACCUUAUGAAUAAGAACCGGCUAAUUCCGUG
rnacentral:rRNA from 1 species